rnacentral:rRNA from 1 species
GAGAGUUUGAUCCUGGCUCAGAAUCAACGCUGGCGGCGUGCCUAACACAUGCAAGUCGCACGAGAAAGUGGAGCAAUCCAUGAGUAAAGUGGCGUACGGGUGAGUAACACGUGACUAACCUACCUUCGAGUGGGGAAUAACCUCGGGAAACCGGGGCUAAUACCGCAUAACAUCUUCUGGCUGAGAUGCCGGUUGAUCAAAGUAGUAAUGCGCUUGAAGAGGGGGUCGCGGCUGAUUAGCUAGUUGGAGGGGUAACGGCCCACCAAGGCAAUGAUCAGUAGCCGGCCUGAGAGGGCGCACGGCCACACUGGAACUGAAACACGGUCCAGACUCCUACGGGAGGCAGCAGUGGGGAAUUUUGCGCAAUGGGGGAAACCCUGACGCAGCAACGCC